AUGCAGUCGACGCGAAGUUUUUCUUCGGAGAAGCGAGUAGAGUGGCGCACGGGUGAGUAACGCGUAGAUAAUCUACCCCUGUAUCUGGGAUAACCAAUCGAAAGGCUGGCUAAUACCGGAUGGUCUUAUAAUAUUGCAAGGUAUAAUAAGUAAAGGUGACCUCUUCAUGAAAGUUGCUGUAUAGGGAUGAGUCUGCGUACCAUUAGCUAGUAGGUGGGGUAACGGCCCACCUAGGCUACGAUGGUUAGCGGGUCUGAGAGGAUGAUCCGUCACACUGGAACUGGAACACGGACCAGACUCCUACGGGAGGCAGCAGUGAGGAAUAUUGCGCAAUGGGGGAAACCCUGACGCAGCGACGCCGCGUGGGUGAAGAAGGCCUUCGGGUUGUAAAGCCCUGUCAGAUGGGAAGAAGUGGAAUAUGGUUAAUAGCCAUAUUCUUUGACGGUACCAUCAGAGGAAGCACCGGCUAAAUCCGUGCCAGCAGCCGCGGUAAUACG
rnacentral:rRNA from 1 species